rnacentral:sRNA from 1 species
CUGGUAGCCAGAAACUAAAGUCCUGCAUUCGCCCACACAACAAGAGCAGCACAGGCAUUGCCAACUUGUUCAGUGUGCCUCAAAACCUGACCUGGAGGGACCCCUCAAGGGGGGAAGAUGAGUUUAAUCUCCUUAGCUCAUUCCCUCUUUGGGCUGAG